GGCCUUGACAUACUAAGAACUUUCCAGAGAUGGAUUGGUGCCUUCGGGAACUUAGAUACAGGUGCUGCAUGGCUGUCGUCAGCUCGUGUCGUGAGAUGUUGGGUUAAGUCCGCAACGAGCGCAACCCUUUUCCUUAUUUGCCAGCGGGUUAAGCCGGGAACUUUAAGGAUACUGCCAGUGACAAACUGGAGGAAGGCGGGGACGACGUCAAGUCAUCAUGGCCCUUACGGCCAGGGCUACACACGUGCUACAAUGGUCGGUACAAAGGGUUGCUACCUCGCGAGAGGAUGCUAAUCUCAAAAAGCCGAUCGUAGUCCGGAUCGCAGUCUGCAACUCGACUGCGUGAAGUCGGAAUCGCUAGUAAUCGCGGAUCAGAAUGCCGCGGUGAAUACGUUCCCGGGCCUUGUACACACCGCCCGUCACACCAUGGGAGUUUGUUGCACCAGAAGCAGGUAGUCUAACCGCAAGGAGGACGCUUACCACGGUGUGGCCGAUGACUGGGGUGAAGUCGUAACAAGGUAGGCGUAGAUGA
rnacentral:rRNA from 1 species